UUACUUUUAUCCUCCAUGUAGGGUUAUUUUGGUGCUAUUUUGGUCCCUAUUCCCUGCAUUGUAUAGACAAACAAAUAUUACAUAUAUUAUUAAGGUGAGUAAAAGAUGAGAGAGUAUCAUUUUGUAUAACCAUUCAUGUUGUGAGUAAAAUCUGUAUAAUGCCUCUGUAAAAUAUGAAGUCUUUUUGCAGAUGUUAAUUAUCAUAAAUUGUUAUCUUUGCUAAUAGAUGUGUGCCACUCCUGCUGACUUUGAGGAGACUAGUAACUUGUGACACCUCGUUUGAUCCUGUUUGGUGAUACUCGGGACAAUGGAUUAAACAAUGGAUGAUCAGCCUGAAAGCCAAAAGAAUCUGCAAGGGUGUUCAGCCAACGUGUCUCACUGGACUUUCUGCAUUGUGUAUUACAUCUCAACUUGCAAAAAGUGAAAGCAGCAUCCACACUGGAAGUCCUUCAAAGACGCUUCAUUAAAAUCAAACCAGAAAAGGGAACCAAGGCUGCAAAGGGAAAAGUGACCUCUAAAACAAGAAAACUGCAAAAGAAGACCAUCAACAGUCAGUCUCAAACUAUCAAAUCUUUUAAAAAGACUUAUGGACUUUGAGUGGUACUUCAUUUAAAAUGUAGCUGACACUUCCCACCAAUUUUUUUAAAAUAUGGUGGGCUGCAGCCUGCAGUGAUGGCAGGUGACUUCUCUGAGUGGGCACGAAUGCAAAGCCAAAACAUUGUCGUGUGUGGCUCCUCAUUUCAAAGUGUGUGUUCGGCGCGUCAUGUGAACCUGUGCAUCGCGUGUCAUUUCAAAAUACGUGCCUGCUCCAGACACUUUGAAGGGGAUUAUGAUAAAAUGCUCGCUUUUGCCAGAUAAUCUCAUGUAUAAACAGAGUUUAGUGUUAAAUGAGUGUCUUGCGAGUAUCAUGUGAAUGUCUCUUUUAUUCUUUAUCAUAUUCAAAGCAUUUGUGGCAGGCAUGUAUUUUGACAUGAUGUGCGAUGCAUAUAAUUCACAUUACACCCCGAACACAUAUUUUGCAUUCAGGCAACCACUGGUGGGGUGGUGUUUUUUAUACUGGUUUGUAUAUUAUAGACCAUGUUUUCAUAUUUAAAAUUGGGCUGGUGUCUGUUAAAGAAUUAGUGAAUUAAGGUUUUAUUGAAUUCUUUUAAAAAUGUGGUGUUUUUACAGUUGUGAAACUUUUGUGUUUUUUGAAAUCUAAAUUUUAAACUACAUUUGUAUUUUAAGUAAA